CUCUUCUUUAAGGCCAUCUGCUUAGCUGUGACUCCCCUGAAGAAUCAGAGCCUCUUGACUUGAAAAAAAUCUCAGAAGAUUAUCUAGUCCACCCCUUAUUCCAAGGAGGUUUCUGCAUGAUGAAGGAUGGGUGGAGAUGGUCAGAAAGGAAAGGAAGGCAAGAAGUUGGUAGAGAAGGAGCAGAGAGUGAGACUAUGUGCAGUAUAUCAACACACUGCUUAUCUCAAAGCCUAACAUUGAAGAUCCAAAGAGAUAAAAUAAUGAUAAGGAAAAAUGAUGCUCACAGAAGUUGUCUUCUGAUCAAGUACACUUAGUAAAUAUAGGAGUUGGGAUUCAAACCAGGUCAGUCUGGCACCGAAGUCCAUGGGCACUCAAAAGAGUGCUCUUAACUCUUCAGAAGCCACUAAUAAAUCUUAUAACAUUGUGAAUGAACUUUGAAUAAGAGCUGUAAUUUGGUUUCUUCUAGUCUAAAUUCUGGCAUGGGUUCUGAGUUAUGCCCAUAAGAGUCUGUUGGUCCUGCUUUCUCAUCUCUCUUCUUUUCUAUUCAGUGACUGUCUACUCAGCCUGCAGGAUUCCAUCAAGGUCCAGCUUCUUUGUGAAGUUUUUCUUUACUUCUCCAAGCAAAACCGACUGCUCCUUU
ensembl:lncRNA